UACGUAGGGUCCAAGCGUUAUCCGGAAUUACUGGGCGUAAAGCGUGCGCAGGCGGCUUCUCAAGUCAGGGGUGAAAGCCCAGAGCUCAACUCUGGAAUUGCCUUUGAGACUGAGUGGCUUGAGUACGAGAGAGGUGAGUGGAAUUCCCAGUGUAGAGGUGAAAUUCGUAGAUAUUGGGAAGAACACCGGUGGCGAAGGCGGCUCACUGGCUCGUAACUGACGCUCAUGCACGACAGCGUGGGGAUCAAACAGG
rnacentral:rRNA from 1 species